GGUGUGGGAAGCCAGGAAUUCCUUACCAAAUGGAGUCCGAAACUGGCUUUGGUGCUUAGCGUUCCCUUUUAGAGCUUGUUCCUUUACAUAAAUAGAAGUGAGUGAAAGGGAUUCUACCAUCGUGUCACGGAAUUGCUCGAAUUCCUUCUGAGUUGUUUGCCAAAAGCAUCAAGCACGGAGAAACACAACGCUCAAUCGCAGUUUUAUGGUACCUUGAUUUAAAGGAGGCUUCCCCAACGCGAGUAUCUCAGAUCGUCGGGUCGUUUGGCGCCUUGAGGUUUUUACCGUAGUAAGAACUUAACGACAGGCAAGAGGUAUCCCUCCUCCUGUAAAUUGAGAUGGGAGGUAGGAAAGGACAAAAGGACGUAAUGACUUAUCAGCUUAGCCACAAACCAAUGUAGAAAAGAUAACGGGCAGGUUGAGGAUUUGGAAAUUCUUUUUAAAACUAUUUGUGUCUGAGCGCCUCUGGGAAAUUCUUCUUGUAUCCUCAGGAGGAUACCUUUUGAAUACCUCAGAUCUCAAUUCCUUACGUGAGAAUCCGUACAAAGUAGAAGAAACAGUGACAUAGAAGAACCGAGAAACGGAAGAGGAGGGCUGCUCUGCCAGCAGAGAUUCUGAUACAAAGCAGAAAGAUCACUGAAGAGCAAUACAGACCAAGAAAAGGAGACUGAACUUACUUCAAGGAAGAUCUUUUAACUGGAGUCUUCUGAUCUAAUCUUCUUAUUUAACAGAAAUACCAUCAAGGAGAUGAAACUAUACUGAUAAGCCCUUUGGCAAACAUAUCUAGGGACCAACGCCCCCCAACCUUAAAAACUCUGACUUUUGAAGUAUUAGUAUUCUGAUCACCCAAAAGCAAUGGCAUCAUCUGUGUCCUAACUACCGUUCUUCCCCUUUAAGUCAAUGUGCAAUUUUAAUAUAGCCUUCUAGGGAAAGUGCUUUUACCUCAAGGAGCAAAUAUAAUGAGAGGCAAAGAUGUCUUGGGAAGUUUUGGCGUCAAGUGGUGUCUAAGAGGAGUCAAAAAUAAAUAAAUAAAUAAAUAAAUAAA